rnacentral:rRNA from 1 species
UACGGAGGGGGCAAGCGUUGUUCGGAAUUACUGGGCGUAAAGGGCUCGUAGGUGGCCAACUAAGUCGGACGUGAAAUCCCUCGGCUUAACCGGGGAACUGCGUCCGAUACUGGUUGGCUUGAGUUUGGGAGAGGGAUGCGGAAUUCCAGGUGUAGCGGUGAAAUGCGUAGAUAUUCGCAAGAACACCAGUGGCGAAGGCGGCUUGCCAGAAUGCGCUCGACGGUGAGGGAUGAAAGCUGGGGGAGCAAACCGG